UCCCUGGUGGUCCAGUGGCUGGGACUCCACACUCCCAAUGCAAGGGGCCUAGGGUUCGAUCCCUAGUUAGGGAA
rnacentral:tRNA from 1 species